rnacentral:tRNA from 1 species
GGUCGCUUAACUCAGUUGGUUAGAGUGUUGUACUAAUAAGGCAUGCCGGAGAAAUGCAAAAGUCACCAGUUCGACCCUGGUAGUGACCA